UACGUAGGGCGCAAGCGUUAUCCGGAAUUAUUGGGCGUAAAGAGCUCGUAGGCGGUUUGUCGCGUCUGCCGUGAAAGUCCGGGGCUCAACUCCGGAUCUGCGGUGGGUACGGGCAGACUAGAGUGAUGUAGGGGAGACUGGAAUUCCUGGUGUAGCGGUGGAAUGCGCAGAUAUCAGGAGGAACACCGGUGGCGAAGGCGGUUCUCUGGGCAUUACCUGACGCUGAGGAGCGAAAGUGUGGGGAGCGAACAGG
rnacentral:rRNA from 1 species